rnacentral:rRNA from 1 species
UACGUAGGGACCGAGCGUUGUCCGGAAUCAUUGGGCGUAAAGAGCGUGUAGGCGGCCUUUUAAGUCCUGCGUGAAAUCCUGCGGCUCAACCGCAGACGGUCGUGGGAAACUGGAAGGCUAGAGUGCGGGAGAGGAGAGUGGAAUUCCCGGUGUAGCGGUGAAAUGCGCAGAUAUCGGGAAGAACACCCGUGGCGAAGGCGGCUCUCUGGAACGCAACUGACGCUGAGACGCGAAAGCGUGGGGAG